rnacentral:lncRNA from 1 species
CAAAGACAGAAAAAAACCACCGGACUGCAGGGUGCUGAUGGUGGUGGAGGGGAGGUGAGUGGCAUUGUCAGUAUCAGUUGCUGGGGUUGGGGGAAUAGGAGAUGGAUGGAGAAGAAUUUAUUAACUCAGCUCCCUUUCCCAUUGGUCACAUUGUGGUCCCGUGGGACAUUGAGUCUCCUGAAUUUCUGGGUUGUGAUUGCAGGAGCCCCCUGAGUUCUCUUGGCGCCUGAUGCCAGGGCAGGAGCAGGAGCAGGUGUCACUGGCACAAGACAGGUGCUGUUGAGGCACAUGGAGCGAUGUGGAAGACAUGCCCAGAGACCUCAGAGACCGGUGAGCCUCAAGGAUCUGAUGUGGCACCUGAGGAGUGUUUGACACACUGAGCGAGCCUGGCGCUCAGAUUCAGCUGUGCGCUCUGUGUGUCCAGCCUCCAUAACUAAGAUGUGGAGCCUCCACUUUUGUGAGAACUAGAUUUUCUCACUUAUUCCUCAAGAGAGGAAGUGUAAGUUCGAUCAGUCAUUGAGUCUGUACACCCACUUACAUCUCUGAAAAGACUGACAGCAAGAGGAUUAGGGAAACAAAUCAUGGUUCCUAAUGCUGUAGCUUGUCCUACAACUGGUUCUCAUCAUCCUCUCGAUUCACCAUCGGUUCUAGAUUCCCUGUUACUCAGCCAUCACUGAUCUGGCCAGGAUGAUUUGCCUGAUGGUCGACGCAGCUCUUUACCCUCAUGGGAUAUUACCUUGCUCCUAUUUGGGCUGUGGCACCUGCAGUUGCCUGUUUAUCAUUCUUACGGGCACACGGAAUCACCAAGACAUGACCCGUGUGGCUUCUGAAUUCUAAACAUGCUCUUCCCUGACCAUCGUGUACAAGAGACCUAGAACUUCAUGUUGAUGGAGGCUGAUGGUUUCUCCCAAAGAACUGAGACUUCCAACCUGUGGAGUCAGAGGCUGCUGGGAAGAGAAGCACAGAUCCUACAAGCGGGGCACUGGAGAGAUGGUGAGAAGGUCCAAUUCUAUUUGUACUGCGGGGUUUUGGGACCCAGGUGUUCUGGCUAUAGGGGAUGUAGCACUCUGUGUCCAUCUUUGGCUGAGUGUGUCUACCACACUAUAGGACAAAUAUCCCAAAACCAUGGGGUUUUGACCCUGAGCCAGC